GUGCUCUUAUAAGUACUUAUAAGUGCUUUGGAAUAGUACAAGGAAGAUCAGCAUGGCCCAUCUGCAAAGAUGAUGGGGAAAUAUAUGCAGAAUUCCCUAUUUAG